rnacentral:tRNA from 1 species
GCGGUUGUCGUCCAGACCUUUAAUUAGGGGAUAACUUGGUUAGGACACGGGGUUUCCAACCCCGGAACACGGGUUCAAAUCCCGUCGACCGCA